rnacentral:rRNA from 1 species
CAGCAGCCGCGGUAAUACAGAGGGUGCGAGCGUUAAUCGGAUUUACUGGGCGUAAAGCGUGCGUAGGCGGCUUCUUAAGUCGGAUGUGAAAUCCCUGAGCUUAACUUAGGAAUUGCAUUCGAUACUGGGAAGCUAGAGUAUGGGAGAGGAUGGUAGAAUUCCAGGUGUAGCGGUGAAAUGCGUAGAGAUCUGGAGGAAUACCGAUGGCGAAGGCAGCCAUCUGGCCUAAUACUGACGCUGAGGUACGAAAGCAUGGGGAGCAAACAGGAUUAGAUACCCCAGUAGUCCCUGUCUCUUAUAU